GGUAGGAACGUAGAUCGACUGGUAAAUAGAGAGCUUCGCCUUUCGACUCAGCUCCUUCUUCACCACAACGGACCGAUGCAGAGCCCGCCUCACUGCGGACGCCGCACCGAUCCGCCUGUCGAUCUCGCGCUCCAUCCUUCCCUCACUCGUGAACAAGACCCCGAGAUACUUGAACUCCUCCGCUUGGGACAAGAUCUCCUCCCCGACCCGGAGAUUGCACUCCACCUUUUUCCGGUCGAUAACCAUGGCCUCAGAUUUGGAGGUGUUGAUUCCCAUCCCAGCCGCUUCGCAUUCGGUUGCGAACCGCUCCAGUGAGAGCUGGAGGUCACGGCCCGAUGAAGCCAACAGGACCACAUCAUCCGCAAAAAGCAGCGACCCGAUCCUGAGGUCCCCAAACCGGACCCCCUCAACGCCCUGGCUGCGCCUAGAAAUUCUGUCCAUAUCAGUUAUGAACAGAAUCGGUGACAAAGGGCAGCCCUGGCGGAGUCCAACCCUCACCGGGAACAAGUUCGACUUACUACCGGCAAUGCGGACCAAACUCUGGCACCGGUCGUACAGGGACCGAACAGCCCCGAUCAGGGAGUCCGGUACCCCGUACUCCCGGAGCACCCCCCACAUGAGCCCCCGAGGGACACGGUCGAACGCCUUUUCCAAAUCCACAAAACAUGUGUAGACUGGUUGGGCGAACUCCCAUGCACCCUCCAGAACCCUGCCGAGGGUAUAGAGCUGGUCCACAGUUCCACGGCCAGGACGAAAACCACAUUGCUCCUCCUGAAUCCAAGGUUCGACAAUCCGACGGACCCUCCUCUCCAGCACCCCUGAAUAGACUUUCCCAGGGAGGUUGAGGAGUGUGAUCCCCCUAAAGUUGGAGCACACCCUCCGGAAAAUCAAUCCACUAAUAAUUGUAGUGCAGACACCCUGGCAAAAGGAUAUACUUAGAGAACAUCCCCAUACCAUGGUAUUCAUGGAUGCUACUUACAAAGCCAUGACAUCAUAUGGUUAUGCAUUUUAUGCACUUCUUUUGACCAACAGUAUUGGGAGAGCAGUCCCAUUUGCUUACUUUGUAGGAAUCAGCAGACAUACUUGCUAUCUGCUUGGAAAAGCUUGCAAAACACAACCCAGGAUUUCUUCCCAGGUCAAUAAUGAUUGACCGUGACCUUAAGGAACUCAAUGUCAUAAGAAGAGUUUUUCCAACAGGCAAGGUUCUUCUUUGCUGGUUUCAUGUACUCCAGGCUGUGCAUAGGUGGAUGGUUAGAAGAGAUGGAGGGAACUUGCCAGUGAAUCAACGAAAUAUUGUGAUUUAAGCAAUGGUGUCACUGAAAUCCUGUUUAACGGAAGAAGAGUUUAACAGCAUGUCAGCUAGAAAGUGCGAAGAGCUCGAUACCUGUCUAGAUACUUCACAUGGAUCGACCUACCUCAAGAAUCAGUGGAUUUGUUUGGGAGAUUUGUGGUCCAACUUUGGCAGGUCAUUCUAUCACCAUAACAGCGAAACCAACAACAAGGCAGAAAGAUUUUUCCUCACAAUGAAGUAUCAGUUUCUUAAGGGGAGGAUGAAUAGCAGGAUUGAUCAGCUUCUUCGCUUACUGUGUGGUGAUGUCCAAAAAUAUUACAGUUACCUGGAUGACCUUAAAGAAACUGGACGAAUCAAGGGAGCAAACAGUGAAGAGACGACUAAUGCCGCCCAGUCUAUGGUUGCAAAAGGCCUGGACUCAAAAGUGGAGAUGCAUGAAAAUGGAGUGUGUUUGGUUCCACCCAAUACAAGCACACAAUCUCACAGAGUUGACCUGGGGUGUAUUCGUCGUAGCUCGCUAAGCGGUUUAGCGAGCUAAUUUUCAGACUAAGAUAAAAAACGCCCCUCUUUUUGGUUCGUGGAAGCAACUUUCGAUAAAUAAAGUAACACAUCAAUUAGCACUAACCUGCUCCAGAGCAGGCUAACGUAAGUGUAGCUGGAUAAGCUUGCCACACCCCCGGAAAAUAACAUGGCAGCUCCCUUUUUGAGAGACCCAGUUGACCAAGGAGCUAUAUUUUAGUUCGAUUAGCUUUCCAUACCAAUAGAGUUCUUCGCGAUUGCCAAGAUCCUUUGUUUCACACGGAUGAGUUCUUGUUUGAGCGAUAUCGAUUCAGCAAGGACUCACUUAUUUGCAAGACCUUCUCGGGCCGUACAUUGCAAAUAUCACACGCCGCAGCAAGCUUUAUGCUUUAUUAUGAGCUUAUGCUGCUGUAUGUGAAUAUGUAACACUAUGUUUUAGGAAAUGUCUUAUCUGUUGUGCCUGUGCUUUUUAUAUGUUUCACUGUGGGAGAGUGGGAAACGUCAUAUCGAUUCCUUUUUAUGUCUUGACAUGUGAAGAAAUUGACAAUAAAGAUACUAGAAACUUUAA